GUGAGGAAUAUUGGUCAAUGGGCGAGAGCCUGAACCAGCCAAGUCGCGUGAAGGAAGAAGGAUCUAUGGUUCGUAUACUUCUUUUGCAGGGGAAUAAAGUGCAGGAUGUGUCCUGUUUUGUAUGUACCCUGAGAAUAAGGAUCGGCUAACUCCGUGCCAGCAGCCGCGGUAAUACGGAGGAUCCGAGCGUUAUCCGGAUUUAUUGGGCUUAAAGGGUGCGUAGGUGGUUUGAUAAGUCAGCGGUGAAAGUUUGCAGCUUAACUGUAAAAAUGCCGUUGAAACUGUCGGACUUGAGUGUAAAUGAGGUAGGCGGAAUGCGUGGUGUAGCGGUGAAAUGCAUAGAUAUCGCGCAGAACUCCGAUUGCGAAGGCAGCUUACUAAGCUACAACUGACACUGAAGCACGAAAGCGUGGGGAUCAAACAGGAUUAGAAACCCUGGUAGUCC
rnacentral:rRNA from 1 species